AGUACCUCGAUGAAGCAAGUCCCAAAAGUUAACUCAGUUGCAUUCCUCAACUUUUGAAGAUAAUCUUCGAUGAGUGUCUUUAUAACGUGAUGCUCAUCAGGACCUUGAUCAAACCAAGUCCAGUUCAUUUGGAAAGUAAGCUUCACACUGACCAGAGAUGAUACAUUUACUAGCCUACACCUAAGAUCAUACAUAUAUCCAGAGAU
rnacentral:misc_RNA from 1 species